GUAUGAGAUGCACCCAUACUGCAUGCUAUUUCAUUAGGGAAGUACAUGUAGCAACCUCUUUUGUCAUCCCAAGGUAUUGCACCAUGACAGUCUUUUAUUUCUUUAUUUGACCAUCGGCUGGACCGCUUUCUCUUAGUCAUCUCUCCAUGGCGACACAGUGACUUUUAUGCAGCAGAAGUGAACGAUUUCCACAGGAGAAGUGAAAUCUCUAAUCAACUUGUAUGUCGUUUUUCAUUUUUUUUAAAACAAGUAUAUAUUUAAAUGUGUAUGUAAUGUAUGUAAAUAUAUAAAAUAUGAAAGACAAACUAAACCUACAUCAGAUAAUGAUGUCUAGUCAUUAUGCUUAACUAGUUUGAUUGCAUUGCUUUUUCAGUCAGACUAAGUAUUCCAAAGAAGUAGGCCACAAAUGGUGAGCCGUUGAUCUAACUCAAGCAGACAACAACCCUGUGAGAGCCCCGUGUGACCACAAGAGGUCGCUAUACCACAUCAGUUUUUCAAUGGACUUAUCCUACUCUUACAAGUACAUGUUCUUGAUUCAUUUGGACAAGUCGUUAAAAAGGAAUGGUCAAAGUAGACCUAAUUCAUUUCACAAUUUAAAAGUGUGAAUAACUGAUGCAAAAUUAGGACAUCCAAUGUCUGUGAAUUGAUACCUCUCUCAGCAAAACUCCUGUAGAAUUGUCUACUGCGUGUGUCCUAGUAAGAUAUAGUAUAUUGACUUAAUGUGAUUCUACAGAUUGAUGAAAGGGAAAUGGAGGACGGACAGAAAAUCAUUCAUCAUCAUCUCUUUGCCUUUGAAACCUCAAUAUAGUUGGAGCCAGUCACACUGUGAGUCACUUAACAGACUGUCAUUAGACUCAUUUACAGUAACCCUACUUCUAUGAGCUGUUACCUGACUGUAUUCUUAUACUAGUCUUCCAUAGCGAUAGCAUUCAGUCCAGCUGUAGCGCAACAUUGUGAAGACUAUGACGUGAAAGCACUAGUAUUUGACUUUGUACGCAUGCCCAACAAAACAAUACAGCCUCUGAAUCAGCGGAGGCUGCUGGGGGGAGGACGGCUCAUAAUAAUGGCAUCAGAGCAAAUGGAAUGGAAUCAAACACCUGGUUUGUUUGAUGUAUUUAAUACUAUUCCACUGAUUCCGCUCCAGCCAUUACCACGAGCCGGUCCUCCCCAAUUAAACAUGUUUUAAAUGUACAUGCAGUACUUUUCACACAGUCAGCGAAACAGAAAUGUAUGUGGACCAAACUGUGAUUAAUUUUUCAUUGCUUUCACACAAAAUGCAUUCAAUGAUGUCAUGUGUGCUCCCUCUCCGGCCUCUGGGUCACCAGGCUGCUCGGUAUGGCGCACACCUGUCACCAUCGUUAUGCGCACCUGCGUGUCAUCAGACUCCCCUGGACUCCGUCACUUCCCUGAUUACCUUCCCAAUAUGUCACUCCUUUUGGUUCCUUCCCCAGGCGUUAUUGUUUCUGUUUGUUUCAUGUCUGUGCGUUGUUCUUGUUUUGUAUUAUGUUGUGUUUAUUUGUUAAAACACUCACUCCCUCAACUUGCUUCCUGACUCUCAGCGCACAUCGUUACAAAUGACCACAUUCUCUGAAAUCCAUGAACUCUUUUCUCAUUCAUACACCACCUGCAAAACUAUAUAUUUGCAGCACAUGUUUUCAAAUGCAAACACACUGUUUCCAAAACUGUUAAAAACACAUUCAAAACAGAAUGAUGGCAAAUGCUUUUCAUUUCUGCAGUAACCAGAUUGAAGCAUAUAGAACAUCUCAGCAGAAUAUUUUAUAAUUCCAAACACAGCUGACUGCAAUUUCAGCUGAAAGCCGACCCAAGUGUCCUGUUUUUAGUCUUGUUACCAAACAGACAAAAGACGACGGCUUGGGAAUGAUUUCAUUUGGAAACAUGGAUCAAGGAAGAUAGGUUGUUGGGGAAAGAAGAGUGUCAGGGAGAAGGAGAAUGUGUGGAGGACAAAGGAGAGGAAGAACAAGAGCGGUGGUCUCUGAUGAGAUGAGACACAAUUAUUGACCAUGUUGUAAACCAUGGUCUCUCCUUGAGAUGCAACCGUUGCAUCAAUAGUAUACAUUUCCCGGCAAAACAACAGUAGGAUCCAAAGGUUGCCUCCCACAGGAGGGAGAAGCAGAAUAUUAUCAGAUGUGCAGGAAAUUGCCAUUGUUGACAUGGUAAUGGGCAACAAUACAAUAAAACUGCGGGAAAUUCGGGACAGAGUGCUGGCAGACAAUACCACUUUUGGGAAUUUGAAUACGGUCAGCACAACGAGAAUUGCUAGAGUCCCAGAGAAACAAAAGGAUGAAGCACUGUACACUUUGAGAGAAACGGUGAACGUGUGAAAGAACACCGGUAUCAACAUGUCCAGAGUAAUGGAGAUGGAAGCCAGGCAAACUGCACACACAUUCAUCUUUGUGGAUGAAGCUGGAUUCAACCUGGCAAAAACACGCCGCAGGGGAAGAAAUGUGAUUGGACAGAGAGCAACUAUGGAUGUCACCGGCCAGAGAGGAGCUAACAUCACAAUGUGUGCUGCACUGUCCUGUGAUGGUUUGCUGUUACACAAACCAUUUAUUGGCCCCUACAACAGAGAGGCUCAUUUAUUUUCUGGAUGACCUGCAUAAUUGACUUGUGCCAGCGGAGGAGAGAAGGGCAAGAAACUCCCCUACCUUCGUUCUGUGGGAUAAUGUGCCAUUCCAUCACUCUGCUGCAGUCGCAGACUGGUUUGCUGCACAUCCCAAGAUGUACGAUUCCUGCCUCCAUACUUUUUCUCUGCAUGGAGGUGGAAGGUUUAUGACCACCAUCGACAUGACCAGAUGUCCUUGAUCUGGAUGCCAUGAAUGCAGGGUGUAGAGAUACUUCUCCUGAGACUGCCAGGGUGUGGAGACACUUCUCCUGAAGACUGCCAGGGUGUAGAGACACUUCUCCUGAAGACUGCCAGGGUCUGGAGACACUUCUCCUGGAGACUGCCAGGGUGUGGAGACACUUCUCCUGAAGACUGCCAGGGUGUAGAGACACUUCUCCUGAAGACUGCCAGGGUGUGGAGACACUUCUCCUGAGACUGCCAGGGUUUUAGAGAGACUUCUCCUGAAGACUGCCAGGGUGUGGAUACACUUCUCCUGAGACUGCCAGGGUGUGGAGACACUUCUCCUGAAGACUGCCAGGGUGUGGAGACACCUCUCCUGAGACUGCCAGGGUGUGGAGACACUUCUCCCGAAGACUGCCAGGGUGUGGAGACACUUCUCCUGAAGACUGCCAGGGUGUGGAGAGACUUCUCCUGAGACUGCCAGGGUGUGGAGAGACUUCUCCUGAAGACUGCCAGGGUGUGGAGACACUUCUCCUGAAGACUACCAGGGUGUGGAGACACUUCUCCUGAGACUGCCAGGGUUUUAGAGAGACAUCUCCUGAAGACUGCCAGGGUGUGGAGACACUUCUCCUGAAGACUACCAGGGUGUGGAGACACUUCUCCUGAGACUGCCAGGGUUUUAGAGAGACAUCUCCUGAAGACUGCCAGGGUGUGGAGACACUUCUCCUGAAGACUGCCAGGGUGUGGAGACACUUCUCCUGAGACUGCCAGGGUUUUAGAGAGACUUCUCCUGAAGACUGCCAGGGUGUAGAGAGACUUCUCCUGAAGACUGCCAGGGUGUGGAGACACUUCUCCUGAGACUGCCAGGGUGUGGAGAGACUUCUCCUGAAGACUGCCAGGGUGUGGAGACACUUCUCCUGAAGACUGCCAGGGUGUGGAGACACUUCUCCUGAGACUGCCAGGGUUUUAGAGAGACAUCUCCUGAAGACUGCCAGGGUGUGGAGACACUUCUCCUGAAGACUGCCAGGGUGUGGAGACACUUCUCCUGAGACUGCCAGGGUUUUAGAGAGACUUCUCCUAAAGACUGCCAGGGUGUAGAGAGACUUCUCCUGAAGACUGCCAGGGUGUGGAGAGACUUCUCCUGAGACUGCCAGGGUGUAGAGAGACUUCUCCUGAAGACUGCCAGGGUGUGGAGACACUUCGCCUGAGACUGCCAGGGUGUGGAGAGACUUCUCCUGAAGACUGCCAGGGUGUGGAGACACUUCUCCUGAAGACUGCCAGGGUGUGGAGACACUUCUCCUGAAGACUGCCAGGGUGUAGAGACACUUCUCCUGAAGACUGCCAGGGUGUGGAGAGACUUCUCCUGAAGACUAACAGGGUGUGGAGACACUUCUCCUGAAGACUAACAGGGUGUGGAGACACUUCUCCUGAAGACUGCCAGGGUGUGGAGACACUUCCCCUGAAGACCGCCAGGGUGUGGAGACACUUCUCCUGAAGACUAACAGGGUGUGGAGACACUUCUCCUGAAGACUAACAGGGUGUGGAGACACUUCUCCUGAAGACUAACAGGGUGUGGAGACACUUCUCCUGAAGGCUAACAGGGUGUGGAGACACUUCUCCUGAAGACUAACAGGGUGUGGAGACACUUCUCCUGAAGACCGCCAGGGUUGGAUUAGACACCUGGUUUUAUUGCAGCCCUGGAAUUUUAGGAAUUUGUUUUUUGUUUAAACUUUUCCUUUUUUUACAAGUAAAUUACUAUAUGCAAAGAUAUAGAAAAAAAUACAGGCUAUUGAAGCAAA